GUGAAAAAAUCUUCUAGGAGCAGCUAACAAGAAUCCUAAUACAGGAGUGUUUAUGGUUGGGUUGAGACACAUUCAGUAGCUGAGUGAUUGACAGCAAGAGGAGCAAGACAUGAGGUAGAUUUGUAUUAUAUUCUCAGUGAAACGGGAUAGCUUUAGAAGCUUUUUAAUAAAAAGGAUAUAUGAUCUAAAUUUCCUACUGUUAAUAAUUAUCAAAUAUAUGGCAAUGCUGGACUUUAGCUGAUCAUCGUGCUUCUGGAAAACAACAAAAAUUGAGAUAUCUGUUCACCACUUUGUGUGUCCAAGGACCACCUACUUUUUACAUGUGACAAGAACUACCCACCUCCACUCUUCAGAACAUGCUGAAGAAAAGAGUUGCAAUGAGAAAAUAUAUGGGAACAAAAUACCUAUGCAAUGCAGAAGUCUGCAUAACUGAACCACUCAGAGGAAAAAGAUUGCCAUUUCAGGACACCUCCUACAUCUGAGGAAAUAUGCAUUGAUCUUGCAGUACUUUUCUCCUCCAAAUAAAAGUCUAAGCCAAAGGACACUUCAGUUAUCCAAUCUUG
rnacentral:lncRNA from 1 species